GUCUAGGCCUGUUCCAUGAGUUUAUUUUUUUAAAUAAUUCCGUUGAAGCGUGGUUGAAAAGCAAUGUCUGACUUUCCAGGGGCUCAUUGUCUCAUGAAACAUCCUUGAGAAGCGCUGACUGUUAGCUCAUAAAUCAUUUUUAAUUAUGAGUUAGCUCAAAUCAUUUAUCUCAUAAAUGAUCAAUCAUUUUUAAGUUGUGUCGCGAAGCAAGGUAAAUAUUUACAAGUAACUAUAACGUGUGACCGGAUUGAGACUACUUUCCCUUUAAGAGGGUGGGUAGGAUAAUUACACAGGUGUUUAAAGUCUCGCGACACUGAGAAUCUAUCGCUUGAUCCCGUUCCCUCUGGUGUGUGUUGGAAGGACUGCUGCGACUAGUCUGUUAUACCAUCUUGUUAAACAUUAUCGUUCUAUUUCGUUUCCUCUGCUAUGCCUGUGUCCUAAAGGUCGCUGUGGAUAUUCUGCCUCUUCAAUUUGGUGGAGUUAGCGACUUUAGUGAUUGCUGGGCAUUCUUAAGUGGUGUCCUGUAUCAGGUAAAGAUGCUGCAGUGGUGUUUUAAGAGUUGAACGUAUAAUUAUGAGAUCGUGUAAAUUAAGUGUGUUGCUACAGUUCCUAAAAGCAGACGCACCGCUUUCCAGAACAGGAUGUGUAGCAAAUAACCAAUUGCUCGAUAGCACCUGAUAUCACUAGCCAGCUUCGUUCAUAUUGGACAAAGGGGAAAAGCUUCUCUUCAAAUGAGGUAGCCAGGUUAAUCUGGCUGUUUUAAAAGGAGGAGUACUUUUGGCUGUUGAUUGGGCAACCACUGUUUCUUUCCUUUUGUAUUUUUCCAUUUAUUUUCUUUAAGUUUGAUCUCCCUCUACUUGGGUUUGCGCUGUGGGUUUGUGUAGGAAUUGAGUUCUUGUGUAUUGGGUGUUUGCUUAUUUGUUUUCUUUGGAUUUGAGGUGUGAUCGAAAUAUUUUUCAUACAGGUUUAUUUUUGAUGUGAUUUUUGUUUCAUUUUUUUUAUUAAAUGGCGGAACCCAUUCCUUUAUGCCCAGUGGGUGUUUAAAUCUGAACCAGUAGGGGGGGAACCUGUUGACAGUCUUUUUAUGUGAAGCUCGUAUUUGAUCAUUGCUGUUAAAUAAAUUGUAAACU